UGAGGUAUUGGUGUGCACACAGGAUUGGCUUCGAGACAGCUUGCCUCAUCUUGCAGAUGAUCCACCUUCUCAUACAAAAUACAAGAUUGAAGAUUACGAAACUGUUGUUGAUAUUAAUAUCGAUGAUUAACUUAUGCUGAUGUAGGUGCAAGCAAAGAGAAAUUUAUGAUUCCAUGUGUUCAAGUUAGAAGGAUGUAUACAUUGCAUGACAAACCUGUUUACAUAACCAGCAAAGACAGCAUAACUUCAAAGCUCCUGCACAAACAUAAAAGUGUACUCAUUGAUGCUUAAACUUUAUAAUUUUAUAGUAUAAUGAUCGUAAACUGAUGUUGCUUCUUUGCUUUAUGCAGGAUGGUGGUAAUCUAUCUUAACUAAUGGGACAAGUCAUCUUCACUGAACAUGAUGUUGAUGUUGUGAUGCAUCCUUUUGGAUUGUCAUAUGGGGUAGAAUUUUGCUGUGAUGUAGUAAAUUGUAAUGUUGUGAUCCUAAAACUGUGACCCAGGUUGUAAUGCUGUUGUUUGGAUUGUCCUUUGUCAUAUGGGGUUGAAUUUUGCUUUGAAAAAUCCUUUGAUGCUAAUACUGUAACCAGCUUUGAUUCUUUAUGAAUAGCAAUUACAAGUUGCAACUGUUCAAAUGUUUAUGUUUUAGAUGGAAAGUUGCACCUGUUCAAAUGUUUUAGAUGCAGGUACUUGCAGUCUCAAUGUUGGACAAGUUGAUUUUGUUUUAGAUCUGAACCUAUUUUGAAUGUAACAGAUGGAUAAAUGUGUUUUGAAUAAGCUAGAUCUAAACCUGGUUGAUCAGUUUGCCUUCAAUUUUUUUGGUGAAACGUAUUCUGAACCGGUUUUGAAUGUAACAGAUAUUGAAUUGUUGAGC